rnacentral:lncRNA from 1 species
UAAUGAAGACACACACGUAGAGGAUAUUUUGGCCAAUGCCCAUACCGCUGAUGUGACCUGUGGUCGGUGGGUUUCGAGAUUAUCUGUGUUGCUAUGUUAGCUUUUUACGGAGAAACCAGUGAGCGAUGGUGACUAGCCUCUACACCUAAACCUGGCCAAGCAUGUCCCCUCCCUCACCUCCUCAAUCACACCGCACGGUGUAUGUGAUUCACACCACUAAUUUCUUUCUCCUUUAUUUUUACUUUAAUAAUUAAUCAUACCUCUUUUCUGGUUUCUUGGGUUGGCUGCUUUCCCAACCCAACUCAUUAGUAUUGGCAGGCAGCAAUGGCUUUUCUGGUGCCGUACUUCUGUUCAUGCAUGCAUUCUCAGUUUGUGAGUGUGCAUUCAGUUUGUGAGUGUGCCUUCAACUCAUGCACACAAAAACGAAAAAACUUUAACCAUUAAAAAAAAGAGGCACAUAUAUUGAUUUCAUUUUUGGAGUUAAUUUGAUUUAGAAUAAUUAAUACUACUAAUUUUACUAUUGGAUUUAAAUUUGGGCAGAUUAAUUUUCUUUUACAGUUGAGAUUGUUUUGUUAAAUCCCAACGGUAAAAAAAAAAGAAGAAAAAAAUAAAUUAUUGUGUAAAACCAGCUAAUUAUUGUGUAACCAAGAAUAAAAAAGAACCACCAAAACAAGACAAAGGACGAAAUUCUUU